AGCCGUCCUAGUUAUCUUUUCAACCAUCCGAUCCCCUUGGACUGUUUUAACUCUUCCUUGGCUAGUGGCUACUGCCCUUCAUCCAUAGCUAAACCAGGAAAAAUUAAACCGGUGGCGACUGAGGUAAACCGGAACCAGAUUUGCAUUUCUCCGAAUAGAUGAUCAUGACCUCACUGAAGUUUUUGUAGACGACAGUGCAAAGCCAGAGAAACCAAAGAGCCAAAAGG
rnacentral:lncRNA from 1 species